UCCGGCUUAUCACCGGCAGUCCCCUUAGAGUGCCCAACUUAAUGUUGGCAACUAAUGACAAGGGUUGCGCUCGUUGCGGGACUUAACCCAACAUCUCACGACACGAGCUGACGACAGCCAUGCAGCACCUGUCUCCACGCCCCUUGCGGGGUUUCACUACUUUCAUAGCUAUGCGUGGGAUGUCAAGCCUAGGUAAGGUUUUUCGCGUUGCAUCGAAUUGAACCACAUACUCCACCGCUUGUGCGGGCCCCCGUCAAUUUCUUUGAGUUUUAACCUUGCGGCCAUACUCCCCAGGCGGGAUACUUAACGCGUUAGCUACGACACCGAGAGGGUAAGAACUCCCGACAUCUAGUAUCCAUCGUUUACGGUGUGGACUAC
rnacentral:misc_RNA from 1 species